rnacentral:rRNA from 1 species
CCUACGGGUGGCAGCAGUGAGGAAUAUUGGUCAAUGGGCGCGAGCCUGAACCAGCCAAGUCGCGUGAGGGAAGACGGUCCUAUGGAUUGUAAACCUCUUUUGUCGGGGAGCAAAAGACGCCACGCGUGGCGUUCCGAGAGUACCCGAAGAAAAAGCAUUGGCAAACUCCGUGCCAGCAGCCGCGGUAAUACGGAGGAUGCGAGCGUUAUCCGGAUUUAUUGGGUUUAAAGGGUGCGCAGGCGGAAGAUAAAGUCAGCGGUAAAAUUGAGAGGCUCAACCUCUUCGAGCCGUUGAAACUGGUUUUCAUAGGUGAGUAGGAAGUAUGCGGAGUGCGUGGUGUGGCGGUGAAGUGC